GACGAACGCUGGCGGCGUGCCUAAUACAUGCAAGUAGAACGCAGUUGCGAACGGGUGAGUAACGCGUAGGUAAAUGCCUGGUAGCGGGGGAUAACUAGUGGAAACGAUAGCUAAUACCGCAUACUACCAGAUGGACCUGCGUUGUAUUAGCUAGUUGGGGAGGUAACGGCGCCCCAAGGCAACGCUACAUAGCCGACCUGAGAGGAGGAUCGGGCAACCUGGGACUGGGACACGGCCCAGACGCCUCCGGGAGUCAGCAGUAGGGAAUCUUCGGAAAUGGGGGGAACCCUGACCGAGCAACGCCGCGUGAGUGAAGAAGGUUUUCGGAUCGUAAAGCUCUGUUGUUAAGGAAGCGGUACUUGACCAGAAAGGGACGGCUAACUACGUGCCAGCAGCCGCGGUAAUUC
rnacentral:rRNA from 1 species